rnacentral:rRNA from 1 species
UACGGGGGGGGGCAAGCGUUGUUCGGAAUUACUGGGCGUAAAGGGCUCGCAGGCGGCCGACUAAGUCAGACGUGAAAUCCCUUGGCUUAACCAAGGAAUGGCGUCUGAUACUGGACGGCUUGAAUCCGGGAGAGGGAUGUGGAAUUCCAGGUGUAGCGGUGAAAUGCGUAGAUAUCUGGAGGAACACCGGUGGCGAAGGCGGCAUCCUGGACCACAACUGACGCUGAGGCGCGAAAGCUAGGGGAGCAAACAGG